AAGACUAUACUUUCAGGGAUCAUUUCUAUAGUGUGUUACUAGAGAAGUUUCUCUGAAUGUGUAGAGCACCGGAAACUACGAGAAGGAGGUGCAGUGUUCUCUCCUGAGCGUGAAGUUGGCUCUUGGUGUUGCAUUAGUGCAACUGUCAUUUGCCGUUGAUGAUUGUUCUUCUCUUCCUUUGGGAGAGAACGCAGUCUGAGUGGU
ensembl:snoRNA U3 Small nucleolar RNA U3